rnacentral:misc_RNA from 1 species
GAUGAAGAACGCAGCGAAAUGCGAUAAGUAAUGUGAAUUGCAGAAUUCAGUGAAUCAUCGAAUCUUUGAACGCACAUUGCGCCCGCCAGUAUUCUGGCGGGCAUGCCUGUCUGAGCGUCAUUUCAACCCUCAUGCCCCUAGGGCGUGGUGUUGGGGAUCGGCCAAAGCCCGCGAGGGACGGCCGGCCCCUAAAUCUAGUGGCGGACCCGUCGUGGCCUCCUCUGCGAAGUAGUGAUAUUCCGCAUCGGAGAGCGACGAGCCCCUGCCGUUAAACCCCCAACUUUCCAAGGUUGACCUCAGAUCAGGUAGGAAUACCCGCUGAACUUAAGCAUAUCAAAAGCGGAGGA